AUGGCAUUACAUCCUGUCACUAUGUCUCGGGAGUCAUUAAAUGUGUGCAAGAUUUUUCUGUGUAUAUAUUUAAAUGUUAAAGCAAAUAUGUCCACAUGCACACACAGACACACACACACACACACACACACACACUCUCUUUUGAACACUGGAAGCAGAAUCAAUGUUUUUUUUUCUAGCAAUGCUCUUCGCACAUUUUGCAGUUCAAAGAGAAUACAACAUACUCAACAAACCAUGCCUGAAAACAUGUGGUUGUACAGAGAGCGGUGUGACUGAAGCCAAAGGAUACAAGGCGUCAGAGACAGCAAGAGAUGUGGCUGUAACAUAACCAGACAACUUUUGAAGCUUUUAAAGUAAUUGUGGUGUUAAAAUGCAAACGAUUCAUUGCAUGAUGAAGUGUGCUGCCUUGUUUAAAGUGUGACUCAGCACUUGAUGUUCCAGACUCAGAGCAAUAGCAAUAUCAAAGAAUCUUAGAUAUAAUUCAUCUAAGAUUCAUGUUGGUUUUGGAGGGCUGUUUUUAUUGUGAUCAUUUUGAAUUGCAAGAUGUCAGAAAACCCAAUAAAGCAUCAUUACUCCCACUCCCCGUAUUGUUCAGAACAUCUCUUCAUGCCGUUCCUAUCCAUUUAUAAUCUUCACAGAGGAAGAAUAAACGAUUGCUCGCUGCCGCCAGCAAGACAGCAGGCUUUCUCUAUUAAUGCUUUUUAAUCUAGUCUACUUUGUAUUUUUGGACUGUUAGAAUCACACCCGAGUAAUCUACAGGAAAGACCAUAAAAGAGGAGAGCCACUCUCCCAUGAUGUCCAUGUCUAUUGAUUUUCAGUUAAUGCAAUUCAUUCGACAUGUUUACAGUGUAUUUGCUGCACUGCAGCUGUCUGGCUCAAUAUGGUGCAAAAUGAAAGUCAACAUUAUAGACUUAAUUUGAUACUUAGCAAUUUGGGAAGACUCUGCAGGAACUUCAAAGCAAUAAUAUUUUAUGAUCGAUGGGAGAAAUAAUUAUAAUCACACUGUGGAGGAAAGAACUACUAAGCCUCAGUGAGAUCAUUGUAGAUUUGAAUAAUUCAGAAGCUGCUAGUAUGGAAUCAGACAAUAGUUGGAGAUGCAGUGGACUAGUCUUUGACAGCUAGUGUAGUUUGGGACAGUAAAUAUCCAAACAUUGCACCACCGUUUCAAUCUGCUGUACAAGUCACUUCACAGAUGAUAGAGAUAGUACUGAGAUUCAUGGAAGGAAAUUAAACCACAGAGGUGAAAUUCCCUCUAGCAAUACAUAAGCAACUGUAUGAGGUUGAUGCACAGCCGAGCAGGUCAGUUCCCUGGAGCCGCUAGACAGAAUUCCGGAGCAGCUCUUAAGCGGCGCACAGAUUUGCUUGAAUUAAAAAGCGAGUCAUGAUAUUUUGGAAUAGCUUCUCCAUUUGACAGUUCAUUUAAGACUACAGCACAUGAAGUCUAUGACUGUCUAAUGGUUCUCAUGUGUUUUUUAACUGUAUUUCAAACGCUCUACCCAAUGACCCACUUUAAGGAUCACAUUUUAAUAGAGUGAUGAUAAGAUAUUGAUCACAGCGUCGCCCCGUGAAUAGAUGAACAAGGCAGGCAUUCGCGAAACGUGUCAUUCUAACCAAAUAGAAUGGAGGGAAAAUGUAAAACGUCGUCAGUGUGCCAGUGGAAAAGCUCACAGACGCCUGCGAGUGUGACGAGAUCUCCCAUCAAACCAUCACUGUACUCUCUUCACAAGAUAUCUGUGCUGUUAUCUGAUAAUGACAAAGGAUAUCGACCCAUCAAUCACAGCUCGGAUGCCUCCAGCAACUGUCAGAGAGAAAGACUCCGUGAGAGAGAGCAGGAGGGGGAAAAACAUUCUUGGGGACUGUGAGAUGAGAGAUGGAGGUGACACAUGCAUGAUUACGUUCUGCUCUGUUCCAGUCCCCUCACGCAGCUAUGGCCAGUCGACCCUGUGAGGAGAUGGAGACGUACUCGAAUCGCAGGUGCACGGAGGUAGAUGCUAAUGAAUCCGUUCCAGCAUGAUGUUAAUUAAGAUUAAUGAGGGGAAAAGGCCUGGGAGCGAACAGUGUCCAACAAUAGAAAAAUCCUGUGAAUCAUGUGAACAACCAUGUGUAUAAAAGUGGAGGCUGUGGCAGAUAGUUUACACUGACUCUAAAUAAGCAUAAAAAAUGACAAUGGAAAAUGUUGGAACAGGCCUUAAAGGAAUAUGUCACUCAAAAUGACAAUUCUGUCAUUAUCUACUUGCCCUCAUGUAAUCCCAAAUCUGUUUGCUGUUGUUUGUUCUUUCUGUGGAAUACACACACA
ensembl:lncRNA